rnacentral:rRNA from 1 species
AUUGAACGCUGGCGGCAGGCGUAACACAUGCAAGUCGAGCGGAUGAAGGGAGCUUGCUCCUGGAUUCAGCGGCGGACGGGUGAGUAAUGCCUAGGAAUCUGCCUGGUAGUGGGGGAUAACGUCCGGAAACGGGCGCUAAUACCGCAUACGUCCUGAGGGAGAAAGUGGGGGAUCUUCGGACCUCACGCUAUCAGAUGAGCCUAGGUCGGAUUAGCUAGUUGGUGGGGUAAAGGCCUACCAAGGCGACGAUCCGUAACUGGUCUGAGAGGAUGAUCAGUCACACUGGAACUGAGACACGGUCCAGACUCCUACGGGAGGCAGCAGUGGGGAAUAUUGGACAAUGGGCGAAAGCCUGAUCCAGCCAUGCCGCGUGUGUGAAGAAGGUCUUCGGAUUGUAAAGCACUUUAAGUUGGGAGGAAGGGCAGUAAGUUAAUACCUUGCUGUUUUGACGUUACCAACAGAAUAAGCACCGGCUAACUUCGUG